rnacentral:rRNA from 1 species
CAGAGAGUGUGUGCCAGCCGCCGCGGUAAUACGGAGGAUGCAAGCGUUAUCCGGAUUUAUUGGGUUUAAAGGGUGCGUAGGCGGCACGCCAAGUCAGCGGUGAAAUUUCCGGGCUCAACCCGGACUGUGCCGUUGAAACUGGCGAGCUAGAGUACACAAGAGGCAGGCGGAAUGCGUGGUGUAGCGGUGAAAUGCAUAGAUAUCACGCAGAACCCCGAUUGCGAAGGCAGCCUGCUAGGGUGAAACAGACGCUGAGGCACGAAAGCGUGGGUAUCGAACAGG